rnacentral:rRNA from 1 species
UUGGAAGGGCAAGUUCUGGUGCCCGCAGCCGCGGUAAUUCCAGCUCCAAUAGCGUAUAUUAAAGUUGCUGCAGUUAAAAAGCUCGUAGUUGAAUUUCGGGACCAAUAUGUCGGUCGUGCCUCGGUACGUACUGGCAUCGUUGGUUUCUCCCUUCUGACGAACCAUGAUGUCAUUUAUUUGGUGUCGUGGGGAAUCAGGACUGUUACUUUGAAAAAAUUAGAGUGUUUAAAGCAGGCUCACGCUUGAAUACAUUAGCAUGGAAUAAUGAAAUAGGACGUUUGAUUCUAUUUUGUUGGUUUCUAGGAUCGACGUAAUGAUUAAUAGGGAUAGUUGGGGGCAUUAGUAUUCAAUUGUCAGAGGUGAAAUUCUUGGAUUUAUUGAAGACUAACUACUGCGAAAGCAUUUGCCAAGGAUGUUUUCAUUAAUCAAGAACGAAAGUUAGGGGAUCGAAGACGAUCAGAUACCGUCGUAGUCUUAACCAUAAACUAUGCCGACUAGGGAUCGGAUGAUGUUAAUUUUUUAAUGACUCAUUCGGCGCCUUACGGGAAACCAAAGUGUUUGGGUUC